GUGCUAACUUCAGCAGCACAUACACUAAAAUCGGAAUGAUACAGAGAAGACUAGCAUGGCUUCUGUGCAAGGAUGACACACAAAUUCAUAAAACAUUCCAUAUUUUU